UACGUAGGGCGCAAGCGUUGUCCGGAAUCAUUGGGCGUAAAGAGCUCGUAGGCGGCCUGUUGCGUCCGCUGUAGAAAGUCCCGGGGCUUAACCCCGGGGCGUGCAGUGGAUACGGGCUGGCUGGAGGCAGGCAGGGGAGAACGGGAAUUCCCGGGUGUGAGCGGUGAAAUGACGCAGAUAUCGGGAGGAACACCGGUGGCGAAGGCGGGUCUCUGGGCCGUAACUAACGCGUGAGGAGCGAAAGCAUGGGGAGCGAACAGGA
rnacentral:rRNA from 1 species